AAAUCCAAGCUGUCAUGUCUGUCAAAAGUGUCAAAUUGACAAUCACAUGCGACAUCUGCUGUUAAAUUCGUAAAUGACCGCGUAUUAGACAUUAGAGGGGUGUAGUCAAAAUUAAUACGAAAAACUGAAAAUUGGAGAGGUUGAUAGACUGAAGAAACAUGAAACUUGUGAUAUCUGAAAGAAUGAACAUAUAAGAGGAAUAAGACAAUUCUGAAGAAGUGUACUAGGAAGAAUAAGUGUGGUUUUAGGGUUCGUUUCUCAAAUAGCCCUACUGUGUUUUCAUACUGGAAGUAGAAAAUAUCAAACGUUUGCCAAAUUAUUUGAGAAAUGAAAAAAAUAGACACAUCCUUGGAGUUAGAACCGUGAGAGAGAGGAGGUGUGAAGCUUGUCAUCCAGAAAACUUGAGAAACACGGGGCAGUCUUGCCCAAAAUUCGACCAAGCAAAGUUGUUGAAAUAGAUGUUCAACGAAGAGAGUUGAAUAGCGACACAUUAAAGAAAAUUUUGAAAACGAGGGAAUUCGUAUCAUCAGAAGAGAAUACAAAUAGCCCGACAAUUCCUCGAAAAGCUAGCGAUAGCAGUGCCAACAGCUCUAAGAUCUCGUCCAGAUUCAAUGCUUGGCCCAAAGCGUUAAGCAGACACCCCUCCAAUAGGUCGAACGCGUCGAGUCAGAGCGGGCACAAGAGGAACCUCUCCAACCAAUCGACAAGGUCAUGCGAGCUGGGGGAGGAGGCAGUACCCUCGGACAGGCCUCUGGGCGGUCCCUCCUCCCCUCUUAUCGCCAUUCCCUCGAUGACCCUGUACAAAUCCACAUCAAAAGCAGAGGAUUCUAACUCGAAACAUUCGCAGAAGCAUGCCACUAGUAUAGAUCUAGAGAAGAUAGACAAUAUAGAAUUCAUAGAUACCACACCUUCCGAAAGCCUGACUAGUCACAUAAACAAUGUGGGUUAUCACACCGUCGAGAAGACGACAAAGGACAAUAAGAAAACUUCCUCGAGAUCCAGGUCUGUAGAGGAUGAGGUGUUCGUGGGGGCCUCUGUGAGGAACAAGCCCCAACCCACCAAAGUGUCUAAGACGAAAAUCGGAAACGCCAAGAAGAAAUCGAAGAAAGAGAAGCCCAACGAGGUGCCAAAGGUCAAUAUCGAGGUGUUGAUCGAGAGGCCCCAGAGGGAGGUCAGGACGACCGAGGAGAACCCCAAGGACGCAUCCAUGGUGGUCAGGACCUCGACGGUGGAGACUGAGCAUCGUAAGACGGUCACGACGACUACAAGUUUGAACCGUUACACUUUCACGAAGAUCAAAGAGGAACAGCCCAAGUUGCAGAAGGAGAUAAGGACGCACAGCUGUUCGUCCAUACCGUACGAUAACAUAAUCGAGAAUCUGGCCCCCUUCCGGAAGAGGUUCUGCAACAUACAGAUAUUCGACGAUGAGAACGCGGACGACGAGCUGAACUUCAACGUGGAGUCGAAGGAUGAUUCGAAAAUCGCGUCGAGGGAGGAAGUCGAGCCAGUGGUGAAGGAAGUGCUGAAGGACGUGUUCGAGAUGGCCGUGCAGAUAAUAACGAAGAACCGGCUGCAGCUGCCGCAGGACAAGAUGCAGCUGGCCUCGGCGGUGGCCUCCACGGCCGCCCUACCCGUAGAAUACAAGAGCCGGAUCAGGUGCAACACCGGCGACAUACUGUCGCCCCUGUCCAAGAUGCUGUCGGCCGUCGAUCAUCAGGUGCUGGACGCCAAGAGCUUCGUCGAGGAGUACGAGGAGUUCCACGACUGCUGCUCCGAGAUGACCGACCCGAAGAUCGGCGGUUACGCCGCCAACGACGACGCGGCGUCACAGGACAAGGAGCGCGGCAGGAGCAGGAAGAAAAAGGAUAAGUCUGUGAAGCACGGCGGCGUGACCUGCAUGAUACCGGUCGAGACGGAUUCGAACGCCGAGGACGAGGUGGAGACGAUGCAGAGCGAUCAGCGACUGAGGGAGAUCGGGCCGAUGUACAACAUACCGAAGAACUACUUCAUGAACCCGGAACUGACCGAGAUCACGGAACAGACCAUAGACGAGCUGCACAGGAACGACGAGAACGCCGAGAACAGCGAGAACAUCGUCGAGCAGACGGUCGUGGUCAAUCUGAGCCUGAGCAAGGAGGGCAAGGUGGAGGACGAGGACGACGUCUACAAGCCGAUCGCCGUCAGUCCGGACGGCAGGUUCUUCAAGUACGAGGAGGAGAUCGGCCGGGGGGCCUUCAAGACCGUCUACCGCGGCCUGGACACCCAGACCGGCGUGGCGGUGGCCUGGUGCGAGCUGCAGGAGAAGAAGCUGAACAAGGCCGAAAGACAGAGGUUCCGCGAGGAGGCCGAGAUGCUGAAGAAGCUCCAGCACCCGAACAUCGUGCGUUUCUACAACUACUGGGAGUACACGGGCACCAAGAAGAAGAACAUCGUGCUGGUCACGGAGCUGAUGCUCAGCGGAACCCUCAAAACCUACCUGAGGCGGUUCAAGAAGAUCAACCCCAAGGUGCUGAAAUCGUGGUGCCGACAGAUACUCAAGGGUCUGGCGUUCCUGCAUUCAAGGGCGCCGCCGAUCAUCCAUCGGGACCUCAAGUGCGACAACGUCUUCAUCACCGGCACCACGGGGUCGGUGAAGAUAGGGGACCUGGGGCUGGCCACGCUGAAGAACAGGAGUUUCGCCAAGUCGGUCAUAGGCACGCCGGAGUUUAUGGCGCCCGAGAUGUACGAGGAGCACUACGACGAGGGCGUGGACGUGUACGCCUUCGGCAUGUGCAUGCUGGAGAUGGCGACCAGCGAGUACCCGUACUCUGAGUGCACGGGGCCGGCCCAGAUCUACAAGAAGGUGAUAUCGGGCGUCAAACCGGCCAGUUUCGACAAGGUGCAGUCUCCUGACAUCAAGGACGUGAUCGAGAACUGCAUCAGACCGAGGAAGGAGGACCGACCCAAGGUGAAGGACCUCCUCAUGCACGCCUUCUUCGAGGAAGACGUCGGUCUUAAGGUGGAGGUCGUUUCCCAGGACGGCAACAAGGUCGUGUUCAGACUGAGGGUCAUCGAUCCCAAGAAGAGGACCCACAAGCAUAAAGAGAACGAAGCCAUACAGUUCGAUUUCGAUCUGGAGGGCGACCGACCCAACACCAUCUCGGAAGAAAUGGCAAAGUCGGGCAUCAUCUUCGAGGAUGACGCCAAAACUGUGGCCCAGCUUCUGAAGGCGCAGAUCACGCAGAUCACGAAGGAGAGGGUGGCGCAGAGGUCCAAGGAACAGGAGGCGUUGGCCCAACAGAUGCAGUAUCAGCAGUACCUGCAGCAACACGUGGAACAGCAGAUCUCUCAACAGCAACAACAGCAGCAACAGCAACCGUCGAACGUGCCCCAACAACAGACGGCGCCCCAGGCCCAACCGUCGCAACAACAGGUCUACCAGUCUCAACCGAGUUAUCAGCAGAACAGCACGGAGAAUCAGCAGCAGCAGCAGCAACAGCUGCCGCCUCAGCAUUACAGCCAGCAGGGACAACCGCAGCAGAACCAGCAGGCUCAGAUCAUCCAGGAGCCCAAUCAGAUGUCCCAGCCUCAAUACCAACAGCCUCAGAACAUCAUACAGCAGGAACAAUCUCAACAGUUCGUACAGCAAUCUCAGCAGCCCCAGCAGGAUCCGGGUAUGAUCCAGCAGCAUCACAUCACCACGCAAUACCAGCAGCAAUCGCAGCAGGUCCAGCAGCAAGAGGCGCAGGUUUACCAACAGACCCAGCAGCAGCAGCAACAGGCGCCCCAGCCGAUGCAACAACAACCGCCGCUUCAGAUGCAGCAACAGCCGCACCAGGUCCAACAGCAGCCGCCCCCGCAGCAACAUCCGGAGGUGCAGCAUAACCUUCAGAGGCAGCAGUCGGUCGAUCCGGUGCAGCAGGUCUCGAUCCACACCCAGCAGAGCCAGCAGCAGCAGUUCAUGCAGCAGAAUUACAUACUGGAGAAUCAGCAGGAUUACCUCAACGUCAUGGUGGAUAACCAGCACAAGCUGAGCAGCAUAUCGCAGCCGGAACUGUUGCACGCCGCCACGCCGCAGGUGGAGCACAGACUGAGCGUCGACAGUCAGAUGGACAAGAUGAACAACCAGGCGCAGAUAGACCCCCAACAGCAGCAGCAACAGAUGGUGCAUCAGGUCGAAGCAGGUUACAUUAUUUACCCGCAACCCCAGCAACAGGGGAACUUCCAACAAGCCCAGCCGCAGACGUAUCAGCAGGGACAGUACGCGGAACAGACCCCCUCGUCCGGACACGCCAACUAUCCCCCUCAGCAGCAGUCGCAGCAGCAGGUGAACUACCAGUCUCAACCCCAGCAGGGCUACAUCCCCCAACAAACCGUAAGCUAUCAACAACAGGGACAUUACGUGGACCAGAACGCUUAUCAAACCCCUCAGACACAGUAUACUCAGCAGGGCGCACCGCAACAGCAGCAACAGGCGCAGUUCUCGCAGCAGGGAACCCCGCAGACUCAGCAACCUCAGUUCAGCCAGCCGUCGAACGCUCAGCCUCAGUAUACUCAGCAAGGGGCGCAACAGACGCAGUACGCGCAACAGCCGGCGCAACAGUCCCAACCCGCUCAGUACCAACAGCCGCAGACGACGACUCAGCAACAGCAGUACUCGCAACCCAACCCGCAGACCCAACAGGGACAAUACACGCAGCAGGGGACAGCGCAGCAGGUGCAGUAUACGCAACAGGCUCAAUACACGCCUCAGGGUACCCCGCAGACGCAGUACGCCCAACAGCCGGCCCCGCAGACCCAACCGACAACGUACGCCCAGCAGGGGGCGUCCCAACAGUCGCAAUACCCGCAACAGACAACGCAGCAACAGCCUCACAUGUACCAGGGACAGCAGACGCCGUCCGGUUACAACCCGCAACAGACCCAGCAGUAUCAGCAGUACAUCUCUCAGACCUCGGUGGAACACCAGGUGUACCAACCUCAAGGGGAACCCAUUCAGCAGAUGUACCAACAGCAGCAGCCGCCUCAGCAAACCCAGCAACAGAUACCUCCGGUACAACAACAACUACCGCCCGUUCAACAGCAACAGCAGAUGCAGCCCUCGCAGUCCCAACAGCAGAUGCAGCAAAACGCCCAACAGCAGGGUUUACCUCAACAGUACAUCCAGCAACAGGUGGAUCAUCAGCAGGCGCAGAUGGUCGCGCAGUAUCCGGGACAGAUGCAGCAGCAACAACAGCAGCAGAACCAGAUGGUUCAGCAGAAUCAGAUUGCGUCUCAGCCUUUGCAGCAAACGGCGCAGCCUCCGGAACAGCCGAGCGAACAGGCCGCCCAACAGCAGUCGCUGGCCAAUCACAGGAUGUCCUCCACCGAGGCCCCGCCCAUGAACCUCGCCGAGCUGCAGCAGAAACUGGCCCAGCAGAACGCGCCCGUCGUCGUCAAGGAGUCCCAACAGAGGGCGUCGCUACCCGCUAUGACUUCCUUCGACGGCCAUCCCAACGAUCAGAGGAGGCUGUCGUCGACCUCGCAACCCUCUGCGUCCCAGGAUUUUCAACCCUCCUACAAUCAGAUACAAGAGGACAUCUCCAAUCAGUCGUUGGACAACCUCAAGGCUCAACAGUUGGAGACGAGGAAAGACACCCAGUCCGAUCCGGUCCUGUACGAGGAGCAGCAACUGGCUGGCACCGAAGGCCAACGAGAAGAGACCAGCCUGCAGAAUCUCAUGAAACAGCCGUUCUCCGAUCAGGCCGCCAAGACGGCCGACAACAGCACGCUGGCCGGACUGAAAUCGUCGCUGACGGAGAAGAUGUCCAACUGCGCCGCGCGCCAGAGGGAGAGCCUGAACAGCAGCGGCACCGUGUCGCGCAAGACGAGCACCGCCAGCGAGUACACGCCCGAGCACACCUACGUCACCGACAGACCGCCCGCCACCAGGAGGGACGCCCCCAGCGUCUCCACCACCGACGGCGCGGCCGCAGUCCCCGAGAAGCGCGAAGACGAAGACGACGAGUUGAAGGCCGAACUGAACGACAGCCUGAAGAAGGGCGAGGUCAAGUUGGUGCCGGGGCAGAAGGUGGACGUGAAGAUGUUCAUCCUGAAGCCGGACGAGAACGAAGACGGCGACGAGGCCAAGCCGUCCGAAUCCAAGACCCCGGAGGCGGCGUUGAAGGUGCCCCAGAGGAAGAUCUCCAGGUUCCUGGUGAGCCCGGUGCUCUCCGGUCAGCUGGACGUGCCCAAAGACAAGGAGAUCGGCGCUGAGCCGGUCCAGGAGCCGCCGAAGGUCGUCAGCGAGGUGGUGGCGGCCCCUCAGGUCGCUCCGGAACCUUCGGAGGCCGCCAGGAAGAAUUCAGGGCAACUGGAGGCCGCCGGUAAGACGGAACCAGAGAAGACGGUCGAGCAGAAACCCAGCGCGGCGUCGGUGAAAGAGGAGCAGCCGGUCAAGGAGGAACAGUCGGCGCCCGUCUGCGGACCGGAGAUGAUAAACACGCUGGAACAGCUCAAGAUCAGCCUGGACAAUCUGAAACACAGCGGGCACCCGGCGCACAAGAAGGACUCGGCGGAGAGCGAGGCCAAGAAGGAGGUGGCGGCGGCCGCUGCGGCUCAGAAGCCUCAGCAGGCUCAGCCGCCCGCCCAGAUCGUGGUGCCGCCCCAGAAUCAGCAGAUGUUGGGUCAGACGCAACAGCCCGUCCUGAACGCCGCCCAGCCGGUGGCGGCGCAGUCGCAGCAGCCGGUUCAGGCUCCACAGCAACAGGUGGUCAGUCAGCCGCAACCGGCGCCCGUGCAGGCGCAGCCCGCCCAGCUCCCGCCGCAACCUCAGCCGGUGCUUCAACCUCAACACCAACAGCAGAUGCCCCCGAUAGUGCAGCAGUAUCAGCAGAUAACGCACAGUCAGCCGGUCACGCCGCCCAUCUGUCAGCCCAACAGUAUUCCGAUGUCCUCUCAGCCGCAGCAUAUCAUAGGACCUCCCACCUUCGCCCCUCAGGCCGCGCCUCCUCCACUGUCUCAGCAGCAGGUCCAACCGCAGAACGUGCUCACGCAGCCGCAUCCGCAGAUAUCCCAGGUAACGAUGACCGUGGCCGCGCACGCCGUACCCCAACCCAUACCGAUCAACCUGUCCCAAGUACCCACCUCGGCGCCCAUCAACCUUCCGCCCCAACAGUACGUCCCCGCGCCCCAGGUACCCCAACCCCACCUGCCCCAACCCGUACCCAUCCCCUCGUCCCUACCGCCCGCGCCACACGUCCACCACGUCGCCCAACCGAUGAUGCUGAACGUGGUCGCGGCGGCGGCGGCCGCAGCGACCGCGGGCGUCGACCUGGUCACGCCGCCCGCCUACGUGCCGCCGCUCGACGUCACCUCGCCGCCCAUCGCGGUGCCCAACAUCGCCGUGAUGGCCCAGCCCGUCGCUGCCGCCCAGCAGCUGUUCCAGAACGCCGUGCCCGCCGAGGAACCGCCCGUCAAAAAGGUGCCGGACAACAUCAAGCAGGUCUUGGAGAGCAACUCGACCAAGGGCAGCCAGGCUUCCACGCCCACCGCGGACGUCAAAUACGACGCCCACCUGCAGAGUCUUCAGCAAAAACUGUCUUCCUCCUUGCCGAUAAGCCGCGCAGCGCAGUUGGGCGUCGAGAUAGCCGGUUCCCCGCACAGCGGGGCGGCGACCGCAGAGGUGCUGUCGCCGGUCGCCGAACUGGAACACAGCCCUUUCGCUUCGCUGUCGGACGCGGCCAAGGUCGCCCAGUUGAGCGAGUUCAGCAGUCAGCUGUCCAGGAUCAACUCGAGGGCGGAGGGUGUGGGCGCCGCGACGCCCGAACCUAAGGUCGCGCAAGAUCAGACGCCCGUCUGUCAGCUAUCGCCGCCGCAGGAGUCUGAGGUCGCUGCCGGUAGAAAGGAGAGGAAAAUUUCGAGAUUUAAAGUUAGUGUUGUUACUGAGCCAGAUCCAAAUAAGUUAGUUUUACCGCCUAAGGAGAAAAAGCCUGAGGUGUCAGAGUCCGCAGUAGUUGUUGCCCCUCCUCAAGUUUAUUCGGGAGGUAACGGUCUCGCGCCCAAAGAGGACAAGGCCGACGUUAAGACUAUAAUCAACGAUACUUUCAAUAGUUUAGCGAAUGUUUUAGCUGGAAGUCUGCCUCCGAACCAAGAGUUCCCAUCCGAAGUUUCAAGAGUCAGAAAGCAUGGCGUCGACGUCGAUACGUCCCCUAUCGGCACCGCCCUCCGUUCUAACCUCAUCACUUGUGGAAAGACCUCUACUAACCCUCCGCCGCCCCUACACCACCUGACCGCGCGCACCCUCCGCAAAUCCGUCUCGUACGACGACCUCAAGAAGGGCAUCGAGUCGAUAAUGCCGAUCAGGAAGGGGGCGGAGCCUCGGGACCCGCCCCCCAAACCCAGGACGAGCCUCGACGACCGCAGGGACUACCCCCAGAUCGUCAUACACCCCCCGGAGGGCGACGUGUACAGCAGCAGCAUGCCCGACAUCCACGCCACCUCCACCGAGUACAUGCGCCCCAUGUUGCGCGACGCCGAGAGGCUAAACGCCAGCUGUCCGGACCUCUCGGACGACGAGGAUAAGAGCUUCGAGUCGUGCAGGAACUACUCGGAGACGGAGGAUCUGUUCGAGAUGUCCGAGGACGAGGCGUUCUCAUCCCCGCCCAGAGACCGCGCCCACUUCCUGGAGUUCGAGAACGCCAGGAAGUUCCCCGGGGACUCUAGGUUGCGUAGGAACGAGGAUAGGUACGGCGGGCAUCCGAAACUGGCGACCAGGCAGUCGUUCCACGGUAUGCCGUCGGUUAAGACGCAUGGUCACGGUUAUUCCUCCGCCAGAUCCGUGGAUUUAUCCAGGGAUUUCUCGGAGUACGACUGGGGGUCCAGGGAUAGGAGUUACUACUCCUGCGAGACCGCCAAUUGCUUCCUGGAGGAAGCCAGGCGCGUGGAGGAGACCCCUAGCGAGUUGCUGAAGCGACAUCUGUGGUUCAAACAUUCGAACUCGAUGCACAACCUGGUCAGGAGGCAAGACCACGCCUUCUCCCCGCCCACGGACGACGCCUUCUGUCCCUAUCACACGAUACACGGCGUCCAGUAUCCCAGCUCGCACAGGAUCAACAGGGGAGAUAGACGGUCGUUGUUCGACGCCUCCCAACAGCACGACGCGGCUUUCGGUCACCACGCCCAUCAUCACCAAACUCCUCCCCCUCCUCCACCUCACCAUCACCAUCACCACCGCGGUAGGUUUCACCAGACCGAGGUCAGAAACGUGUACAAAUGUUGCUGCGGUAGGCCUUGGUGCCUGGCAGUGGUGCCUAUCGAGCAAUAUUUGGAGAGUUACUUUGUCAAGACGGAGGAAACUUUCGAGGAGAUGUUGAACAGGCAAAAGGCCGAGUUGAACGCCCUGAUGGAGGCUCACCGUAAACAGCAAUUAGAAUACAUGGGUAAGCUCCAGUUUGAAAAAAAUGUCAGCUCUCCGAAAGUUGAAUGUCAAACGUAGCAUUUUUUCACCCGGUGGCUGAUUCAUGUUUUCUUUUUCUUUUCAGAAUUUCAUAGGAAACAAACGGAAGAAUCGAAAAAGAAGUGAUUUUAGAGGAGAUGAAAUUGAGAAUGAAAGGCUGUAUAAAUAUUGUUUAUAUUGUAUCAUAAUUUAAAGAAAAAAGUCUAGUUAACCUAAUUAUAUUAUGAAUCUGA